UACAGGGGGGGCAAGCGUUGUUCGGAAUUACUGGGCGUAAAGGGCUCGUAGGUGGCCAACUAAGUCGGACGUGAAAUCCCUCAGCUUAACUGGGGGAACUGCAUCCGAUACUGGAUGGCUUGAGUUUGGGAGAGGGAUGCGGAAUUCCAGGUGUAGCGGGUGAAAUGCGUAGAUAUCUGGAGGAACACCGGUGGCGAAGGCGGCAUCCUGGGACC
rnacentral:rRNA from 1 species